CACCGAUGUAUGGCUUGGAUUGUAACUACACGUGCCAUUGUUAUACUUCAAACUGCGAUGGCGUCACAGGUUGUUUUGGUGGCUGCAACAAAGGGUGGCACGGAGCAAGUUGCAAUAAAGAGAAUAUAGCUUUCAACAAACAUACAAGUCAGAGUUCCUACUCUAGCGGUUGGUGGAAAAAUUCCUCGCUUGCUGUAGACGGGAGUCUUUACCAAGGUAGCGGGGCGAAAUAUUGUAUGUUUACAGAACCCGGUCAUCAAUACACAUGGUGGCAGGUGGACCUGGAUAAAAAAUAUUACAUACACAAGUUAGCCGUUCACUUCAGAACAUCGCACACAUAUCGCAGAAAUGGUGUUACGGUGUACAGUUCUGUUCGUAAAAACCCGAAACCCACUGGUCACCUGUGUGGUUCAGCAACAGGGUCCAGUCCAGAUGUGACGUCGAUGACAUGUAACAACACAGCUAGGUACAUCACUCUCUACCAAAAUACAUACAACAGUCGACGCUAUUGGCAGACGGGUGACACGGCCAUG